CAGCACCUCAAGUGGUCAGGAUGAUUAUUGGGCCUAAAGCAUCCGUAGCCUGUUUUGUAAGUUUCCGGUUAAAUCCAUUAGCUCAACUAAUGGGCUGCCGAAAAUACUGCAAAACUAGGGAGUGGGAGAGGUAGACGGUACUCGGUAGGACGGGGUAAAAUCCUUUGAUCUAUUGAUGACCACCUGUGGCGAAGGCGGUCUACCAGAACACGUUCGACGGUGAGGGAUGAAAGCUGGGGGAGCAAACCGGAUUAGAGACCCGCGUAGUCC
rnacentral:rRNA from 1 species